rnacentral:rRNA from 1 species
CCCUUAGAUGUUCUGGGCUGCACGCGCGCUACACUGAUGCACUCAACGAGUUUACGACCUUGUCCGAGAGGAUUGGGUAAUCUUUUUAAAAUGCAUCGUGAUGGGGAUAGAUUAUUGAAAUUAUUAAUCUUGAACGAGGAAUUCCUAGUAAACGCAGAUCAUCAAUCUGCAUUGAUUACGUCCCUGCCCUUUGUACACACCGCCCGUCGCACCUACCGAUUGGAUGGUCCGGUGAAGCCUCGGGAUUGUGGUUCUUGCCGCUUUAUUGUGGCGUGACCGCGAGAACUUGUCUAAACCUUAUCAUCUAGAGGAAGGUGAAGUCGUAACA